rnacentral:rRNA from 1 species
CUACGGGCGGCAGCAGUGGGGAAUAUUGGACAAUGGGGGAAACCCUGAUCCAGCAAUGCCGCGUGUGUGAAGAAGGCCUGCGGGUUGUAAAGCACUUUCGGUUGGGAGGACUGCUUCUAGCACUAAUAUUGUUGGAAGUUGACGUUACCUUCAGAAGAAGCACCGGCUAACUCCGUGCCAGCAGCCGCGGUAAUAGGAGGGUGCAAGCGUUAAUCGGAAUUACUGGGCGUAAAGCGCGCGUAGGCGGCUAGAUCAGUCGGGUGUGAAAGCCCCGGGCUUAACCUGGGAACUGCAUCCGAUACUGUCUAGCUUGAGUUCAGGAGAGGAGAGUGGAAUUCCACAUGUAGCGGUGAAAUGCGUAGAUAUGUGGAGGAACACCAAUGGCGAAGGCAGCUCUCUGGCCUGAUACUGACGCUGAGGUGCGAAAGCGUGGGGAGCAAACAGGAUUAGAUACCCGCGUAGUC